AUUGAACGCUGGCGGCAGGCCUAACACAUGCCAGUCGAACGGUAACAGGAAGCAGCUUGCUGCUUUGCUGACGAGUGGCGGACGGGUGAGUAAUGUCUGGGAAACUGCCUGAUGGAGGGGGAUAACUACUGGAAACGGUAGCUAAUACCGCAUAACGUCGCAAGACCAAAGAGGGGGACCUUCGGGCCUCUUGCCAUCGGAUGUGCCCAGAUGGGAUUAGCUAGUAGGUGGGGUAACGGCUCACCUAGGCGACGAUCCCUAGCUGGUCUGAGAGGAUGACCAGCCACACUGGAACUGAGACACGGUCCAGACUCCUACGGGAGGCAGCAGUGGGGAAUAUUGCACAAUGGGCGCAAGCCUGAUGCAGCCAUGCCGCGUGUAUGAAGAAGGCCUUCGGGUUGUAAAGUACUUUCAGCGGAGAGGAAGGGAGUAAAGUUAAUACCUUUGCUCAUUGACGUUACCCGCAGAAGAAGCACCGGCUAACUCCGUG
rnacentral:rRNA from 1 species